rnacentral:rRNA from 1 species
CCUACGGGAGGCAGCAGUGGGGAAUAUUGGACAAUGGGGGGAACCCUGAUCCAGCCAUGCCGCGUGUGUGAAGAAGGCCCUCGGGUUGUAAAGCACUUUCAGUGGGGAAGAACGCCUGGUGGUUAAUACCCAUCAGGAAAGACAUCACUCACAGAAGAAGCACCGGCUAACUCCGUGCCAGCAGCCGCGGUAAUACGGAGGGUGCGAGCGUUAAUCGGAAUUACUGGGCGUAAAGCGCGCGUAGGUGGCUUGAUAAGCCGGUUGUGAAAGCCCCGGGCUCAACCUGGGAACGGCAUCCGGAACUGUCAAGCUAGAGUGCAGGAGAGGAAGGUAGAAUUGCCGGUGUAGCGGUGAAAUGCGUAGAGAGCGGGAGGAAUACCAGUGGCGAAGGCGGCCUUCUGGACUGACACUGACACUGAGGUGCGAAAGCGUGGGUAGCAAACAGGAUUAGAUACCCUGGUAGUC